rnacentral:lncRNA from 1 species
GACACCAAUGCAUGUAAUGGUGCCCCUUCCCCUUUAUAAAUAUAUCUUCAAUCAAUAAAACAAAGACAAGAAUUUCAUUCUAACACGUUAUCAGCCACGUUUGUUCUACAAUCACAAAGAAGAGAAGAGAGGUGAGAAUCAUGGCAUCCUAUGAUCUGCCCCAAGUUCUCGUGGAAUGCUUGAGUUCUUGGGCAAGCCGCCGGGGAACUUACCGCCGCCGCUGGGCUCGCCGCCGGUGGACCCCACGCCGCCAAUCGC